UGAGGCAAUACGGCUAUUUGGACACAGACUUCUAUUACACCACGCCCACUCCGGCCCGUUCGCCAAUCAUUGCUUGUCGAGGGGAUAAAAGUAGGCCGUGCCCUUCCUCCUGAACUCUCGCUUCCUGCCUCUUCGGCCCGUCCAUUUCCGGGUCGUUGCCCUCGCCGCUCACCUCAGAGCACAGAUCUGCCGAGAUCCUCAUCACAAUCGGGGCAAUGUAUUGGGGUCGUUUACCGCCGCUGACCAGAGCAUAGUCUGCUUGUCGCAUGGUGCGUGGUGGCUGUCUCCCCCGCUACGCCGAUACUCUUCACCCCUCUCCCUCUUUAGAAGGGACGCAUAAUGAUCAGACUGAGAACCGGGAUUAAGAACGCAAAACCGAGAAUACCUUCCUUGGUUAUUUACUGAUUGUCGCUUAAUUGUCAUUGCUGCUGCUUCGUUGCCACUUCCGCCGACUUGGUUCGGGGCUCUGUCUACUGCCCCUGGUCGGCUUGCCUCCAGCUGCUAGCCCUGUGGCCCGCUGCUGCUGUGCGUGGUGCGGUGUGUGCCUGACCUGUGUGGCUGCCGCUCGGGUGUGCCGCUGCGAGCUCCGCCUGGACUCACCCCUGGUUUGGAGUGUGUGUGUGCGUGUGUGUGUGCGUUUUGAGUUAAUCUCUUAAGUUUUGUGUCGUUGUUCAUUUAAUUUUCAUUUGGAAGGGAAACUUCUCAAUCUGAGCCCUUGUUUAUUUUUGUUUAAAACAUAUGUUAUGUUUACUUGUUGAGUUGAUAUCUCUGGUCCGAGGCUUUUUAAUUUUCUUGUUUUCUUUCAUUUUGAGUGAUUUUUGGUUAUUGCAAAUUAAUACUCUUUAGUUUAUUGAUUUGAUUUGUUAUGUGAUAUUGUCUGUCAGUUGUGAGCCCUCCUAACUGUGCCCCUUUCUCGUAGAGCUGAAGGCCGACGGUGGUGGCGGUGGUCCUCCUGGGUGGUGGUGGUGAUCCUUCGUGUGCGUGUGCUUUGUUUUAGAUUUUAUUCAUUUGGACUUCACGUUUUUGCUGUGUGUGUGAGGUGCCCUUGUUUCUUUCGUUGGAUUUAAUUUCCCCCUGACGACCACUCUCCCAGCCGGUAAGCCUCAGCUUGCACCUACGUCCUUCCCCAGUUGGGCUUACUUCUCUUUUUCAUCUUUUAUGCCAAACUGUGUUUAUAAUAAUAAAAUGCUUUGUUAUAUUUGAACUCUGUCUCCCGCCCUCCCUGAUUGAACGAACCUGAUAGUCUUAUCGUCAGAGGUGACAAUUAUACUCGUAGUGUAUAGGUCCUUGGGCCCUAACCCAAGGUGGCGUUGUCGGUAACAGAGAAAAUACUCUGACAUAAAAUAGUAAAGCCUCCUCGU